AUUCUACACCUAAAUACCUUAAAGGCACCAGAUACCUUUUUAUCUUGGAAGCUAAGUAGGGACAUUUCUGGUUAAUACUGGGAAAGGAGGCUGCCCACUAAUACCAGGUCUUACAGACUG
rnacentral:rRNA from 11 species